UACGUAGGGUGCGAGCGUUGUCCGGAAUUAUUGGGCGUAAAGGGCUCGUAGGCGGUUUGUCGCGUCGGGAGUGAAAACCAGGUGCUUAACACCUGGCUUGCUUUCGAUACGGGCAGACUAGAGGUAUUCAGGGGAGAACGGAAUUCCUGGUGUAGCGGUGAAAUGCGCAGAUAUCAGGAGGAACACCGGUGGCGAAGGCGAUUCUCUGGGAAUGACCUGACGCUGAGGAGCGAAAGUGUGGGGAGCGAACAGG
rnacentral:rRNA from 1 species